AGUGGCGGACGGGUGAGUAACGCGUGAGAAUCUGCCUUGGGGUCGGGGACAACCACUGGAAACGGUGGCUAAUACCGGAUAAGCCGAUUGGUGAAAGAUUUAUUGCCCGAAGAGGAGCUCGCGUCUGAUUAGCUAGUUGGUGAGGUAAGAGCUCACCAAGGCAGCGAUCAGUAGCUGGUCUGAGAGGACGAUCAGCCACACUGGGACUGAGACACGGCCCAGACUCCUACGGGAGGCAGGAGUGGGGAAUUUUCCGCAAUGGGCGAAAGCCUGACGGAGCAAGACCGCGUGAGGGAGGAAGGCUCUUGGGUUGUAAACCUCUUUUCUCAGGGAAGAAGCUCUGACGGUACCUGAGGAAUCAGCCUCGGCUAACUCCGUGCCAGCAGCCGCGGUAAUACGGAGGAGGCAAGCGUUAUCCGGAAUUAUUGGGCGUAAAGCGUCCGCAGGUGGCGAUUCAAGUCUGCUGUCAAAGCACGGGGCUUAACUCCGUAAAGGCAGUGGAAACUGAAUAGCUAGAGUGCCGUAGGGGUAGAGGGAAUUCCCGGUGUAGCGGUGAAAUGCGUAGAGAUCGGGAAGAACAUCGGUGGCGAAAGCGCUCUACUGGACGGCAACUGACACUCAGGGACGAAAGCUAGGGGAGCGAAUGGGAUUAGAUACCCC
rnacentral:rRNA from 1 species